GCUUCCUGCGAAGCCAUUGGUUUCGGGGUGUUUCCUCGGAACAAGAGGGAAUGAGGGUGAGAAUCCCUCGCUGUACCAGCAACCGUAAAGCACCGGGGACGCUGCCGACGACAAGGGCAGCGC
rnacentral:ncRNA from 2 species